UGCAUUUCCUGCCUGAAGCUGAAGGCAGGGGCGUAGCCAACCCCCGGGGAGUAUGGACAGGGACCAUCCUGGUGGUGGUGGGGAGGAUGGAGGUGAAAGUUCGCGUCAGCAUCUGCGAACUCAGACAAGUGAAGAGAGAUGGAACACAGUCACUGAACGGGCAGGCCUCUGGUGACGCAGGGAUUGAGAUGAUCGGCUGGUGGUGACGAGGAGUGCUGAGGUGAAGUAAAUCCAAGGUCCGGACAUAGAACGAGAACACGAAGAAAACCGGACUGGAACUGGAGACGACACGACUGGAACUCCGAGCAGGAACAGGACAAGACAACACAGCACAGGACACCAAACAACGAUCUGACAGGGAAGAUGAGAAUGAGGUGAGCUUAUAAAGGCAAAUUCAGCAUGAAGUGUGACCGUGCAGUGGGCAGACUGAGAGAGUGAGAACAUAAAGUCCUCAGAUUCCCUUUCAACUUCAGGCCUCAGCACACAGCUAGUGAAAGACUCAACAAAGCAAAGGCUUGGAAUGUGAAGAUAAACCAGAGUCACUCUACGAUGUCCCCAAGAACAACGAGAUGGGAGGGGAGAGAAAAGGUGAAUGAGUGCAGAGCUGAGGAGGUGAGCACUCGACUCUGAGCUCAAGAAAGAGGGAGCUACACUUCCAAGAAUUCAGCCCUGAACGCAACCUUAAUGGCUUUUCACUGUUGAGGUACAAAAACAAGAGUUGCAUCUUCCCCUGAAAAUACACAGCAACACUAAAAUAUCGGACCCGCAAUAAUUAGCACAACAAAAAUAACACCAGGAUGCUGCUAAUGGAAAACCCUUCACAUGAUCCUUCACGUAGUCAGACAGUAAUUAAAACCGCUCUGUCUGUUCAUAAUUAUGUGGGGUGCUGAGAUGCUACUGUAUUGAUCUGGGAUUAAACAUAAUGCAUGUCCUAAUGAAAUACCUACAUUACUGUCAUCAGUGCUAUGAUGGCUCAUUAAUAUACUAAUAUCUGUUCUUCUGAGAG